rnacentral:rRNA from 1 species
UGCAGUCGUACGAGAGUUUUUAACUCAAGUGGCGGACGGGUGAGUAACACGUAAGAAUUUACCUUUAGGAGGGGGAUAACAACUGGAAACGGUUGCUAAUACCCCAUAUGCUUUCGAGUGAAACGGAGUUUUCCGCCUAGAGAGAAGCUUGCGUCUGAUUAGCUUGUUGGUAAGGUAAAAGCUUACCAAGGCGACGAUCAGUAUCUGGUUUGAGAGGAUGAUCAGACACACUGGAACUGAGACACGGUCCAGACUCCUACGGGAGGCAGCAGUGGGGAAUUUUCCGCAAUGGGCGAAAGCCUGACGGAGCAAUCUCGCGUGAGGGAUGACUGCCUAUGGGUUGUAAACCUCUUUUUUCAGGGAGGAAACAAAUGACGUGUACCUGAAGAAUAAGCAUCGGCUAACUCCGUGCCAGCAGCCGCGGUAAGACGGAGGAUGCAAGUGUUAUCCGGAAUCACUGGGCGUAAAGCGUCUGUAGGUGGUUUAGUAAGUCAACUGUUAAAUCUUGAAGCUCAACUUCAAAAUCGCAGUCGAAACUAUUAGACUAGAGUAUAGUAGGGGUAAAGGGAAUUUCCAGUGGAGCGGUGAAAUGCGUAGAGAUUGGAAAGAACACCGAUGGCGAAGGCACUUUACUGGCUAUUACUAACACUCAGAGACGAAAGCUAGGGUAGCAAAUGGGAUUAGAUACCCUGGUAGUCC